CCAAAGCCAUAGGAAGGACCAUAUAAAGCUUGUCAGCUUUAACAUGCGAUAGUGUUACUUAGUCUGGAUGAAUAAUAGAUUGUUGAGGAAAUUGAGCUAAGCCAUGGGGACAGAAUGCUUUUGCUGCUUCAUUCUGAUAUCAAGGAUUGACUCUCAAAUAUAUAGAGCGAGCAAGUCUUACUUGUCCUUGGGAGUUGCUGCAUCUGAGCAUGAUGUCUGUUAAUUUGGCCAGAAAUAUGCUGAUUUUCUCUCACUAUUCUCUUCCAAAGGGUGCAUUAUCCUGCUGAAAGAGGCCAAUGCCAUCAGGGAAUACCGAUACCAUGAAAGGGUGCACAUGGUCUACAUCAAUGGUUAGGUAGGUGAUACGUAUCAAAGUAACAUCUACAUGAAUGGCAGGACCCAAGAUUUCCCAGCCCAACAUU